GCGUCGUCAGCUCGUGUCGUGAGAUGUUGGGUUAAGUCCCGUAACGAGCGCAACCCUUGUCCUUAGUUACCAGCACGUUAUGGUGGGCACUCUAAGGAGACUGCCGGUGACAAACCGGAGGAAGGUGGGGAUGACGUCAAGUCAUCAUGGCCCUUACGGCCUGGGCUACACACGUGCUACAAUGGUCGGUACAGAGGGUUGCCAAGCCGCGAGGUGGAGCUAAUCCCACAAAACCGAUCGUAGUCCGGAUCGCAGUCUGCAACUCGACUGCGUGAAGUCGGAAUCGCUAGUAAUCGCGAAUCAGAAUGUCGCGGUGAUACGUUCCC
rnacentral:rRNA from 1 species